rnacentral:rRNA from 1 species
GACGAACGCUGGCGGCGUGCUUAACACAUGCAAGUCGAACGCGCCUGUCCUCUGGGUUUCUGGGGGGUGGGUGAGUGGCGAACGGGUGAGUAACACGUGAGUAACCUGCCCCCUUCUUCGGGAUAACGGUCUGAAAGGGCUGCUAAUACCGGGUAUUCACUGGUCUCCGCAUGGGGUCUGGUGGAAAGGUUUUUUUCUGGUGGGGGAUGGGCUCGCGGCCUAUCAGCUUGUUGGUGGGGUGAUGGCCCACCAAGGCUUUGACGGGUAGCCGGCCUGAGAGGGUGACCGGUCACAGUGGGACUGAGAUACGGCCCAGACUCCUACGGGAGGCAGCAGUGGGGAAGAUUGCACAAUGGGCGCAAGCCUGAUGCAGCGACGCCGCGUGAGGGAUGGAGGCCUUCGGGUUGUGAACCUCUUUCGCCCGUGGUCAAGCCGCGACGUGGGUCGUAGUGAGGGUAGUGGGUAAAGAAGCGCCGGCUAACUACGUG